UACAGAGGGGGCAAGCGUUGUUCGGAAUUACUGGGCGUAAAGGGCGCGUAGGCGGCCGCCUAAGUCAGACGUGAAAUCCCUCGGCUCAACCGGGGAACUGCGUCUGAUACUGGGUGGCUUGAAUCCGGGAGAGGGAUGCGGAAUUCCCGGUGUAGUGGUGAAAUGCGUAGAUAUCGGGAGGAACACCAGUGGCGAAGGCGACUUCCUGGCCUGUUCUUGACGCUGAGGCGCGAAAGCUAGGGGAGCAACGGG
rnacentral:rRNA from 1 species